CUUCGUCUUCCCACUGCUUUCGAAUCCCAGUGGACACAGGGAGAAAUAUGAGUGGGCAAGUGGCGUCAACAUUGGGACCUAGAGAUCAAGAUUCCUCCCAGCUGGAUGAACCUGUGGUUGACCAGCAGCCCAGUGUUGAGCAACGUGAACAAGAG